ACCUUACAGAACUAUUGCCUUAAACUAGCAAGUAGUGGGCCGAAGGAAAAUGAUUUUAUUCAUCUUAUUAACUAGACAAGAAUCAUGUUGUACUUUGUUUCUGAAGAAAAUAAGACUAGAUGUCAAUGAUGCAGUACUUGAAGGUGAAAUGAGGUUAAAUAAACAAGUAGAAAAGGGGAUUUGCCAACACAUCCAGAAAAGUUGGAAACAACAGAAGAUAGUGAUGUAACACAGGCAAGAAUUUAAGUGAAUGAAAAAGCAUCACUUCUAAAAGUAGCAUGGAAUUUUUAUCACAGAAAUAAUCCAGCAGUUUCCAGAUUAUGAAUUUCACCAUGUUAAUGAGUUUUACAAGCAGUUAGGAUGAGGUGUUUUUCAGAAGAAGAAAUGGGUUCCAAGAAUAUGUAUUCUAAAAGUUCCAAAUCUGUUUAUUGUAAUAGAUUACUUGAAAUAAUGAAGACACUUAUUACAACUGUUUUU